GUUAGUAUGGCAGAGUUCGGCUAAUGCAAAAGACCUAAGCCCUUUUAACAGAGGUUCAAAUCCUCUUUCUAACU
rnacentral:tRNA from 3 species